rnacentral:rRNA from 1 species
UACGAAGGGGGCUAGCGUUGCUCGGAUUGACUGGGCGUAAAGGGCGCGUAGGCGGUUCGUACAGUCAGACGUGAAAUUCCUGGGCUCAACCUGGGGGCUGCGUUUGAUACGUGCGGACUUGAGUGCGGAAGAGGGUCGUGGAAUUCCCAGUGUAGAGGUGAAAUUCGUAGAUAUUGGGAAGAACACCGGUGGCGAAGGCGGCGACCUGGUCCGAUACUGACGGCUAAGGCGCGAAAGCGUGGGGAGCAAACAGG